rnacentral:rRNA from 1 species
AUACGGAGGGGGUUAGCGUUGUUCGGAAUCACUGGGCGUAAAGCGCGCGCAGGCGGUCUUUUAAGUUGGAUGUGAAAGCCUACGGCUCAACCGUAGAACUGCAUCCAAAACUAUUAGACUAGAGUGUGGGAGAGGAAGAUGGAAUUAGUUGUGUAGGGGUAAAAUCCGUAGAGAUAACUAGGAAUACCAAAAGCGAAGGCAAUCUGCUGGAACACUACUGACGCUGAGGCGCGAAAGCGUGGGGAGCAAACAGGAUUAGAUACCCCGGUAGUCC